GUGCUGAGUUUCUCAUGGAUAUUUCUUUAAAGAUUUUUGGCUUCUUUAUGCGAAGAGUCGAAGGCAAUAGCAAAAACUGUGAGUUGUAUUUGGCUUUUGUCAGUUGAUUCAGUUUUAUACUGUUUGAAAUUUGUUCCUCGACCUUGCACUUUUGUUCAAAACAAUUUUAAGAACAUUUUGUCCCAAGUUUUGAUUGGCUGAUCAAAGCGAUUAACGCGAGCGAACAAUUUUUUUCGACUUUCGGCGCCUUGUUGUCUAUUUUGUAUACUUGUUGGCUUUCCAAAGUCAUUGUUUGUUUUAC